AAAACUCCAUCAUCCAUCAAGGCAUCAACCAGAACACAAAAAAGAAGGAAAAAGAGGGGGAAAAAAGAAAAAUGGCAGCCUCAUCCUCCUUGUUCACACCCUCCACCAUCACCGUCCGAAAACACCAAAUUUCACCCUCCACCAUCUCAUUCCAAGGCCUAAGACCCCUCAACACCAGGGCCAAAACCUCCCUCCCCAAGCUCGCCACCUCCGCCAAAAGAAACAGCUUCGGCGGCAUUAAAGCUGAGCUGAGCACACCACUUGUCAUCAGCCUCAGCACUGGCCUCUCCUUGUUCUUGGGCAGGUUCGUCUUCUUCAACUUCCAAAGAGAGAACGUGGCCAAACAAGGCUUGCCCGAGCAGAAUGGAGUCACCCACUUUGAAGCCGGUGAUGUUCGUGCCAAGGAAUAUGUUAGCCUCCUCAAAUCCAACGACCCAGUUGGCUUUAACAUUGUUGAUGUUCUUGCUUGGGGUUCCAUUGGCCAUAUUGUCGCUUACUACAUCUUGGCCACCUCCAGCAACGGCUAUGAUCCCAAGUUCUUUGGUUGAUUUUGUUAUUUGUACUGUCUCUCUUUGUCUCUUUUAGUUUCUUAAUUUCUCAAGUGUUGC
rnacentral:lncRNA from 1 species